CCGGAACUGGAAACAGCCAAUUCUCCAAGAAGCCUUGGUUCCUUUCGUCUCUCAAUCUUCGCCAACAAGGACCUGAGUCUGGGCCCAAGAGCAUCUGGAAGGUAUGACAUCCUGCCCCAAUGAGUGCGUUUCUCCUGGGUCCCAGGAUGCUUCCUCCUCAGAGAUACUCAACAUCUGGCUGAAACGAGCACACUUUAAUGGAAACAUCUGGAUACUCUGC